GAUGAACGCUGGCGGCGUGCCUAAUACAUGCAAGUCGAGCGAGCAGACGAGGAGCUUGCUCCUCUGACGUUAGCGGCGGACGGGUGAGUAACACAUGGAUAACCUACCUAUAAGACUGGGAUAACUUCGGGAAACCGGAGCUAAUACCGGAUAAUAUAUUGAACCGCAUGGUUCAAUAGUGAAAGACGGUUUUGCUGUCACUUAUAGAUGGAUCCGCGCCGCAUUAGCUAGUUGGUAAGGUAACGGCUUACCAAGGCAACGAUGCGUAGCCGACCUGAGAGGGUGAUCGGCCACACUGGAACUGAGACACGGUCCAGACUCCUACGGGAGGCAGCAGUAGGGAAUCUUCCGCAAUGGGCGAAAGCUUGACGGAGCAACGCCGCGUGAGUGAUGAAGGUCUUCGGAUCGUAAAACUCUGUUAUUAGGGAAGAACAAAUGUGUAAGUAACUAUGCACGUCUUGACGGUACCUAAUCAGAAAGCCACGGCUAACUACGUG
rnacentral:rRNA from 1 species